GACCACGUAGCUCAGUUGGCAGAGCAUUGGACUAGUAUCCCAAAGGUCGCGGGGUUUGAUUCACACCGUGGUCA